rnacentral:rRNA from 1 species
GACGAACGCUGGCGGCGUGCUUAACACAUGCAAGUCGAACGGAAAGGCCCUGCUCUUGUGGGGUGCUCGAGUGGCGAACGGGUGAGUAACACGUGAGUAACCUGCCCUUGACUUUGGGAUAACUUCAGGAAACUGGGGCUAAUACCGGAUAGGAGCUCCUGCUGCAUGGUGGGGGUUGGAAAGUUUCGGCGGUUGGGGAUGGACUCGCGGCUUAUCAGCUUGUUGGUGGGGUAGUGGCUUACCAAGGCUUUGACGGGUAGCCGGCCUGAGAGGGUGACCGGCCACAUUGGGACUGAGAUACGGCCCAGAAUCCUACGGGAGGCAGCAGUGGGGAAUAUUGCACAAUGGGCGGAAGCCUGAUGCAGCAACGCCGCGUGCGGGAUGACGGCCUUCGGGUUGUAAACCGCUUUCGCCUGUGACGAAGCGUGAGUGACGGUAAUGGGUAAAGAAGCACCGGCUAACUACGUG